AGCUUGUUGGUGGGGUAAUGGCCUACCAAGGCGACGACGGGUAGCCGGCCUGAGAGGGUGACCGGCCACACUGGGACUGAGAUAGGGCCCAGACUCCUACGGGAGGCAGCAGUGGGGAAUAUUGCACAAUGGGCGAAAGCCUGAUGCAGCGACGCCGCGUGAGGGAUGACGGCCUUCGGGUUGUAAACCUCUUUCAGCAGGGAAGAAGCGAAAGUGACGGUACCUGCAGAAGAAGCACCGGCUAACUACGUGCCAGCAGCCGCGGUAAUACGUAGGGUGCGAGCGUUGUCCGGAAUUAUUGGGCGUAAAGAGCUUGUAGGCGGUUUGUCGCGUCUGCAGUGAAAAUCCGAGGCUCAACCUCGGACUUGCUGUGGGUACGGGCAGACUAGAGUAUGGUAGGGGAGACCGGAAUUCCUGGUGUAGCGGUGGAAUGCGCAGAUAUCAGGAGGAACACCGAUGGCGAAGGCAGGUCUCUGGGCCAUAACUGACGCUGAGAAGCGAAAGCAUGGGGAGCGAACAGGAUUAGAUACCCUGGUAGUCCAUGCCGUAAACGUUGGGCGCUAGGUGUGGGGUUCAUUCCACGAGCUCCGUGCCGCAGCUAACGCAUUAAGCGCCCCGCCUGGGGAGUACGGCCGCAAGGCUAAAACUCAAAGGGAUUGACGGGGGCCCGCACAAGCGGCGGAGCAUGCGGAUUAAUUCGAUGCAACGCGAAGAACCUUACCAAGGCUUGACAUAUACCGGAAACAUCCAGAGAUGGGUGCCCCGCAAGGUCGGUAUACAGGUGAUGCAUGGUUGUCGUCAGCUCGUGUCGUGAGAUGUUGGGUUAAGUCCCGCAACGAGCGCAACCCUCGUUCUAUGUUGCCAGCGCGUAAUGGCGGGGACUCAUAGGAGACUGCCGGGGUCAACUCGGAGGAAGGUGGGGAUGACGUCAAAUCAUCAUGCCCCUUAUGUCUUGGGCUUCACGCAUGCUACAAUGGCCGGUACAAAGGGCUGCGAUACCGCGAGGUGGAGCGAAUCCCAAAAAAAACCGGUCUCAGUUCGGAUUGGGGUCUGCAACUCGACCCCAUGAAGUCGGAGUCGCUAGUAAUCGCAGAUCAGCAACGCUGCGGUGAAUACGUUCCCGGGCCUUGUACACACCGCCCGUCAAGUCACGAAAGUCGGUAACACCCGAAGCCGGUGGCCCAACCCUUGUGGAGGGAGCCGUCGAAGGUGGGACUGGCGAUUGGGACUAAGUCGUAACAAGGUAGCCGUACCGGAAGGUGCGGCUG
rnacentral:rRNA from 1 species